rnacentral:rRNA from 1 species
UUACCUGGGCUCGAACGGCUGCCGACUGGUGGUGGAAACAUCGCCUUUCCCGCAAGGGACGGUAGUCGAGGUGCUGCAUGGCUGUCGUCAGCUCGUGUCGUGAGAUGUUGGGUUAAGUCCCGCAACGAGCGCAACCCUUGUCCUGUGUUGCUAAUCGAAAGAUGCACUCUCGGGAGACCGCCAGCGAUAAGUUGGAGGAAGGUGGGGAUGACGUCAAGUCAUCAUGGCCUUUAUGUCCAGGGCUACACACGUGCUACAAUGGGCGGUACAAAGCGCUGCAAACCCGCGAGGGGGAGCUAAUCGCAAAAAACCGUUCUCAGUUCGGAUUGCAGGCUGCAACUCGCCUGCAUGAAGCUGGAAUCGCUAGUAAUGGCAUAUCAGAACGAUGCCGUGAAUACGUUCCCGGGCCUUGUACACACCGCCCGUCACAUCACGAAAGUGGAUUGUACUAGAAGCCUGCGCGCUAACCCGCAAGGGAGGCAGCGGUCCAAGGUAUGAUUCAUGAUUGGGGUGAAGUCGUAACAAGGUAGCC